GACGAACGCUGGCGGCGUGCUUAACACAUGCAAGUCGAACGAAGAGCGAUUGAAUCUUGCUUCUAUCAAUCUGGGUGGCGAACGAGUGAGUAACGCGUAAUCAACCUGCCCUUCAGAGAGGAACAACAGAUGGAAACGACUGCUAAUACCGCAUACGAUCCAAUCUCGGCAUCGGGACUGGAUUAAAGGUGGCCUCUAUUUAUAAGCUAUCACUGAAGGAGGUGAGUGCGUUUGAUUAGCUAGUAGGAGUGGUAACGACCCAGCAAGGCGAGGAUCAGUAGAAGGUAUGAGAGGAUGAAUGGCCACAUUGGGACUGAGACAGGGCCCAGACUGCCACGGGAGGCAGCCGGAGGGCAUCUUGCGGAAUGGACGAGAGUCUGACGAAGAAACGCGGAAUGAGUGAUGACGGACUUCGGGUUGUAGAGCUCUGUUAAUCGGGACGAAUGGUUCUUGUGCGAAUAGUGCGAGGAUUUGACGGUAACGGACUAGAAAGCAACGGCUAACUACGUG
rnacentral:rRNA from 1 species